UCUGGUUCGAGUCCAGGAUGGCCCACCUAAGAAAAGUGUGGGGGUAUAGCUCAGUUGGUAGAGCGCUGCCUUUGCAAGGCAGAAGUCAGCGGUUCGAGUCCGCUUACCUCCACUAAAACCGAGAACAGACCAGCACUACGUCUUUGAUGAAAAAGAGUAAAUGCUGGGAAUGUAACCAGCCAGAACCUUGAAAACUGC
rnacentral:tRNA from 1 species